rnacentral:lncRNA from 1 species
CAGCAGACAGUGGGACUAGUGUUGCACCACAGUGGGCUCCUCCCUUGGGCUCCAGAUGAGGAAGAACAAAACUGGUUGCUUACUUAAAUAUUGUAUAUGAUUGUUCCUUUAGAAAAAGUGGGGUCCUUAGUAAGGAUUAUUCAGGACAGGGGUUACUCAAUAAAAAACAGAGCAUGAAGAAUAAGUAAUGGUUGGUGAGCUGGGUGGCUAGUGCUUAGUGGGUUGGGUGAAAAUUGGCAUCUUGCAAAGUCUGAGUAUGUGUUUAAAAUUUAAAAGGUAUUCAGCAACCUGGUGCUGUCAGUCACCCAUGUACAGAGGAAGAUGCAGGUGAAGGAAGCCCUGUUUUGUGGCAUGCUGGAUCUGUGCCUCACUGUGGCUGUCCAACAGGAGGUGAGACCAGUUUGCCGAGUCCCAAGCUGGAGGGUUGGCUCGGGACCCAGUGCCUGUGAAGAGUGCUGAGGAGAGGAUAACUUAUGGUGUGUGCUUUGAGAUUCCCUUAAAUAGAAAAGAGCAGCCGGUCCCUACUCCCCAGAAGUCUACUGUCUUCCGUGUUUCUUGUUGACUACGUGGAGAAACACAGACCUCUGAAAACUAGCCAGAAGAGCUUUGGGCUCAAAGCAUAAUACUCAGAUGUGGCUGAGACUCAUGUCUCCGGUAGAAGCGUGUCUAUUGCUUAGGAUGUCUAUGAGGAUAUAGUUAUAUCAGGAGCACAAAUGGCCUGGUCAGUUUUGGGACUUAUAGGUCUUCAAUAAAUAGGACUUCCCUUUCUCACUGUAAGAGUGGCAGCUGUCUCAUUCUUCUGCAUAUGCAUGUGAAGGUAAGAGACUGACUGUCCAGCAAGCCAGAGGGGCCCACCUGUGUUCCUCUGUGUAUCUUCUGGGCUGGGACUUCAAGUAUAUACCACCACUCCCAGCUUUUUAACUGGGCUCUGGGAUUUGAACUCAGGUCCUCCUACAUGCACAGCAAGCAUGCACUGAUCUAGCUAUCACCUAGCUUGUUCCCUUUUAUCCAUUUUGAUAUCUUCUAAGACCCCUAGAUAGCACCUUGCCUUACAUAAACUGUUUCUCCUGUCCCUAUGAUAAAGCUUAAUUUGUGAGUCAGGAAAAGUAAGACAUUACUAAUAGUGAAAAGAUCAUGUUACAGUUAUACAUUAUAAUGAGAGUUCUCUGUUUUCUUUCUCUCACCCUUGUAAUAAGUUCUUUCCUCUACCACAGUGGUAUUCAAUCUCCCUAAUGUUGUGAUCUUUUAAUACAGUUCCUUUUGCUGUGAUGACCCCCAACAAUAAAAUUGUUGUUGUUGCUUCACAACUGUAAUGAUACUACUGUUGUGAAUUGUAAUAUAAAUAUAUAUGCUUUCUGAUGGUCUUGGUCAACCCCUUGAAAGGGUCAUUCAACUCCCAAAGGGAGUUGUGACCCACAGUUUGAGAAAUACUGCUCUACUACAGAAGAGCAGAACUGUCCUCUGGGAGUAGAAACUUGGAGGGCAAAUCUACAGACCAGAAGGGACAACUGAGCUAAAAAUAUCCACUUAGGAAGCUUGAAUCUCACUGAGAAGGGGGAAUAAAACAGUCAUAAGAGGCAGUUGGAGGGGAAGGGAGCUGGGAGGAGGAAUAUGGGGAGGGGAGUGGUGUGAAGAAGGAUGGGGUGUGUGACUAGAUGGCCAUGAAGGUGAAUAGAGGUCUUGCUUGAUGGGGGUGGAGAUGUGGGGGCAUUUCCAGGACCAGAUAGAGACCUAGGAUAAGGGAGGUACCCAAGAAUCAACAGGGUGACCUUGACUGUGACACACUAUGUUGGGGAUGUGGAACCUGAGGAUACUACCUCUUGUAUACAGACAGGAACCCCCAAUAGAGCAAUAGAGACACCAACACACCCA